rnacentral:rRNA from 1 species
GAUGAACGCUAGCGGCAGGCCUAAUACAUGCAAGCCGAACGGCAAGUUUGAUAGCAAUAUUGGACCUAGAGUGGCGCAAGGGUGCGUAACACGUAUGCAACCUGCCCGCGACAGGAGGAUAGCUCCCCGAAAGGGGAAUUAACCCUCCAUAACACCAUGAGAAGGCCUCUGAUUAUGGUUAAACCGCAAGGGGUCGCGGAUGGGCCUGCGGUUGAUUAGCUAGUUGGCGGGGUAAAGGCCCACCAAGGCGGUGAUCAAUAGGGGUUCGGAGAGGAAGGUCCUCCACAGUGGCACGGAGAUACGGGCCAGACUCCUACGGGCGGCAGCAUUAGGGAAUAUUGGGCAAUGGUUGCAAGACUGAUCCAGCCAUCCCGCGUGCAGGAAGAAGGCCUUCUGGUGCGGACACUGCUUUUGCCUGUGGAUAAAAUACGCGUGCGCGGGUAAUUGAAGGUAACAGGGGAAUAAGCCACGGCUAACUACGUG